ACACAAUCUCACUUUGUCCUCGGAUGUUCAUCAUGUGAUCUUUUAUCAACGCAACCGUGGCGGGGGCCCUUGCUAACUUGAACCUGUGCUUGCCUACGUGUGGUAAAGCGGAAACACUGUGAACACUUCUGACCUUGUCCUUUCAAUUUUAGGCAGGUGACAACGCUGAAUUGGUCCUCAGGAGCGGAUGUUCAAGGAACCCUGCCUAUGCUCCAUGCCAGCUGCCAGUCCUAGGUUGGGACAUUCCACUGGGGACAUCCAUGGGAGAGCUAUGGCCAUUAACAAGUCCUGAGCCCUGACCUGAAGCCAUCAGUGGCCUAGCUGCUCUACCUGACUUUGUGGCCUCUCUUCCUGGAUCUCUCGCUUACGACAACCGACAACAAAGAUGUUUGGCUCCAGAAGAUGCUCCCCGCGGCCCACCUGAGAGGACUGUCCACACCCCACCCCACUGCGCCCUGUGCCAUCUACCUCUGAGUCCCCAACUUCUCACCCAUGUUUCAACUCCCACCCCAGAGCCUUGUAUUCCAGAUCUGAGCAGCCCUUGCUUAGGAACCUGAGGUGGGGGGUGGGUAGGCAGACCCAGGGGACUGAGUAGGGAGGGGAAGGAGGGGUUUCUGCUCUUGGCUUUCAAAGUUCUCAGUGUGUGUAGCCCUUUGAAUAAUAAACAUAUGUCAUAUAAUGUAAA
ensembl:lincRNA Mirg miRNA containing gene